rnacentral:rRNA from 1 species
GAUGAACGCUAGCUACAGGCUUAACACAUGCAAGUCGAGGGGAAACGACAUCGAAAGCUUGCUUUUGAUGGGCGUCGACCGGCGCACGGGUAAGUAACGCGUAUCCAACCUGCCCAUCACUUGGGAAUAACCUUGCGAAAGUAAGACUAAUACCCAAUGACAUCCCACGAAGACAUCUGAAUGGGAUUAAAGAUUUAUCGGUGAUGGAUGGGGAUGCGUCUGAUUAGCUUGUUGGCGGGGUAACGGCCCACCAAGGCAACGAUCAGUAGGGGUUCUGAGAGGAAGGUCCCCCACAUUGGAACUGAGACACGGUCCAAACUCCUACGGGAGGCGGCAGUGAGGAAUAUUGGUCAAUGGGCGAGAGCCUGAACCAGCCAAGUAGCGUGCAGGAUGACGGCCCUAUGGGUUGUAAACUGCUUUUAGAAGGGAAUAAAGUGGGUCUCGUGAGACUUUUUGCAUGUACCUUAUGAAUAAGGACCGGCUAAUUCCGUG